rnacentral:rRNA from 1 species
AUGUUCAAUGGCGGAGGUGGCGAGCCCGGUGCUAGCGGUUCGACGCCGAUGUGUAACUUUCUUCAGAAGCCACCCAAGAAUAUCCAGAAGCGUCCUACCGCCUCCGUCGGCUCCGAUGACGAAGAAGGUAGUGGCGGUGAUGAUUCCAGGGCCAUCGCGGCGACGCGAUCUAAGAAGCCGCCAUCUACUACCAGCAAGCUCUUCUUCUCCUCUGCCAACAGCUCACACAAGCCACACCGUUUCCAGUUCAAGUCGUCCCAGACGAUUCAGUCCUCCACCGACAACCGCGCCACUGCAAUGCUCGAGACGGAGACGACAUACGACCAUGAUGCUCGUGCCAUCCGCGAGCGACAGCUCAAGCAGGCCAAGGAGUCCCUCAAGAAGAACCCCUCUGCCUCAUCCUCCUCCGGGAGCUACAAGGGGAUCCACGGCUACACGGAUCACAAGGCCGACUUCAGGCGGGAGCACAAGGUUUCCGGAGAGAAGGCUGGCGACACGCACGGCCCCCUGCGGUCGUUAGUGCACAUACGCCUCUCAACGCGGUUCGACUACCAACCCGACAUUUGCAAGGAUUAUAAGGAGACGGGCUAUUGUGGCUACGACGAUUCCUGCAAGUUCAUGCACGACAAAGGUGACUACAAGUCUGGGUGGCAGCUCGAGAGGGAGUGGGAUGAGGCCGAGAAAGCCCACAAACGACGCAUAGUGAUGCGUGAGUUGGAUGUUAGUGAUGUCAAGGCAGAGGAGGAAGACAGUGAUGACGAGAACGCACUGCCCUUUGCCUGCUUCAUAUGCAGGGAACCCUUUGUUGACCCGGUAGUCACAAAGUGUAAGCAUUAUUUCUGCGAGCAUUGCGCAUUAAAGCAUCACUCGAAGAACAAGAAAUGCUUCGUCUGCAAUAAACCGACGCUUGGCAUCUUCAAUGCAGCGCAUGAGAUCCGAAAGAAGAUUGCUCAGGACAAGAAGCAGCAGGAUCUUUGA